AUUGAACGCUGGCGGCAGGCCUAACACAUGCAAGUCGAACGAGUGGCGGACGGGUGAGUAAUGUCUGGUAAACUGCCCGCUGGAGGGGGCUAACUACUGGAAACGGUAGCUAAUACCGCAUACCAUCGGAUGUGCCCCGCUGGGUUUCGCUAGUAGGUGGGGUAACGGCUCACCUAGGCGACGAUCCCUAGCUGGUCUGAGAGGAUGACCAGCCACACUGGAACUGAGACACGGACCAGACGCCUACGGGAGGCAGCAGUGGGGAAUAGGGCACAAUGGGCGCAAGCCUGAUGCAGCCAUGCCGCGUGUAUGAAGAAGGCAUGCGGGUUGUAAAGUACUUUCAGCGGGGAGGCGUUACCCGCAGAAGAAGCACCGGCUAACUCCGUGCCAGCCGCCGCGGUAAUAC
rnacentral:rRNA from 1 species